rnacentral:rRNA from 1 species
GACGAACGCUGGCGGCGUGCUUAACACAUGCAAGUCGAACGCUGAAGCUCAGCUUUUGUUGGGUGGAUGAGUGGCGAACGGGUGAGUAACACGUGAGUAACCUGCCUCCUUCUUUGGGAUAACGCCCGGAAACGGGUGCUAAUACUGGAUAUUCACUGGUCUUCGCAUGGGGGUUGGUGGAAAGGGUUUUUCUGGUGGGGGAUGGGCUCGCGGCCUAUCAGCUUGUUGGUGGGGUGAUGGCCUACCAAGGCUUUGACUGGUAGCCGGACUGAGAGGGUGACCGAUCACAUGGGGACUGAGAUACGGCCUAGGCUACUACGGGAGGCAGCAGUGGAGAAUAUUGCGCAAUGGGCGGCAGCAUGAUGCAGCGCCGCAGCGUGAGGGGUGGCGGCCUUGGGGUUGUGAACCUCUUUCGCUAAUGGUCAAGCCGCAACAAUGGUUGUGGUGAGGGUAGUGGGUAAAGAAGCGCCGGCUAACUACGUG